ACCAUGGGCGCUGUAGUUUGAAGCUGGCGAGAGGGGGGAAAAAAAAAAAAACAACCAGCUUGUAAUUAAUGUCGCAUAAAUGGAGGCUAUCCCCACAGGGAACAGUCCUGCGCCCUCCUGCUCCCAUGUGUUCUUAUUGCUUUCUUUGCCCAGCUCUGCAGCUGACUGGCUUUGCUAAAAGACCGAGAUCUGCCAGUUUUCUGCUGAUUUCUCCAGUAAUUUUCUGACAGAAAACCUGGAAAUAAUUAUAUAGUUUUCUCUGAUGGCAUCCUCGAGAUGCUCAGCUAGCCAUCAAGUCAGCUUAGCUGUCACAGAAAACCUCAUUUUUGGGGUAUCCCUGACAAAGCAACGUUUCAGCUCCCCACAACAGUUUCAAUCAGUUCUUGCGUUCCUGUGGACAAACCGAAAGGAAUCAGGGCUAAAUGCUUUUCUCUUUAAGUGAAAGCUGAGGACCAUAAUAAAAUCCAGCAGCUUCAGGGAACAAACUCCUAUGUGUACUCCAGGCUCGUUACUUCCAGUGCUUUAUAUCUCAAAACUAAAAUAUGAGGAAACUACAAAAAAUGUUGGAAAGUGCAGCGCCUGAGGCACGGACUCAGAUGUGAACGAUCCAAAUCGUUUAUUACAAGUUCUCACAACACUGACAUACGUUCACAAGUUUCUAUUCUUAGCUCUCCCAUCCGCCUUUACAACUUCCCCAUCCACGGUUAUAUGUCAACAACAUAUUCCACAAACACUUCUUAACUGCGCAUACAAGUACUUGUCCAAUCAGAGCCGUGAGACAUUCCUUUUGUUUUUCUCUUCUUCUGGAGGUGUCCUUGGUUCUCAGCCUUGCUUCAUCAUGCCGUUUAUCUUGCUCCAAAGCUUCUGCUCUGAAUAAUCUUUCUUGUAUCCCCACAGGAAAGGACCCGUAAGGAUCAUCAAGUCCAGUUCCUGACUCUGCACAAGACCACCCAAGUUAACAUACUUAUUGAACAAUGAAGUAUAAAAUGUAUGCAUGAAAAUAUAGAAACUCAAGCAUAUCAUCAAGCAAGAUAUGAUCUCUUCAAUUUCAGCUAUUCCACUUACCACACAAAUGUUUGUCUGAACUUAAAGCAGCAUCAAGAAUGAACUUUUCAGGAUAAAAGAAUAAGGACAUAAGGACAUUGCACAGGGACAUGCUGAGCAUCUGGAGCUGCAGAGAAACAUCCUGACAACAGGGAGCAUCGCAGGGAAAUCAUCGUCCAGUGCCGCUAUCAUCAGGGGGCUUGAAGAAUCACCAGCUUGGAAGACAAAGCUUCUCGGGUCCAGAC